CCUUGGCCGCCUGCGCGGUCCCAGGGUGUGGGAAGAGGUCAAAACGAAAGGGCCGGGAAGCACGGCCCCCGCGGGGAAUCCUAGCCCAGUUCUGGGCGUGGCAUCAUUCUCCCACCACCACCUAGUUCCCACCCCCUCGCUGCCUCGCGUUCACUUCCCCUCAGGGACGCAUCCGCCUUCCAAGUUCACAUCGCACCUUUUUGCGCAAGGGACUUCCUCCAGGCCAGGCCAUCCUGCUCUGUGCUGGGUGUCCCUGUGAGCGGCCAGCAGAAGCCGAGUGAAGCGCAUGCCAGUUUGGACUCUGGGAACUCACCGCUCUCGGGGUAACGGAACCUACCUCUGGGGGCACCACAGUGCUUCUCGGAGUAUGGUAAAAACCUCUUCUCCCUUCCUAGACUCAACAACUCUGUGCACCAGCCAGUUUCCCGUCCUCUGAGAUGUCUGACUCCUCCUGGUCUUACAGGUUAACUUACUUGGUGAUCAGAAGUGGGAUGCGAAGAAGACCCCCAGCAACUCGGAGGCUGGUGAACAAACCCGACAGCACCCACAGAGCCAGUUGGGCUCACUGCUUUCUCGCUGACCCUGGAGUUUGCGCCCUGAUAGAGAUAUCCAAAAAACUGGUCCAAAGAGGAUAGAAGCCCCAGGUGGCUCUCAGGUUGCUUUCUGAACCAGGUCCUAAAUCCAACAACCGGUGUCCUUAUAAGAGGCAGAAGAGGAGAAGAUGCAAACUAUAGAGAAGGCCAUGGCCAUGUGGAAACAGAGAUAAAAGAAGCCACAAGCCAAGGAAUGUCUAAAGCCAUCAGAAGCUGGAAGGGGCAAUUCUGCAGGAGAAUGCUGGUCACCGUGAUUCAGGGAACCCCCUCCAGCUGUGUCUCCUGUUGGUUACUCUGAAUGCCUGGCUCACAUGGGGUCUUUCCACUUCCUUCAGGCACAGGUGUCCCCUUCUCCUCCAAUCUGAAAGUUUGCUUUAUUUCACUUUUACAAAAGACCCACAUCAGCACCGACUUUUGCUAGUGGAAGGAAAUCUGAAGCGGAUUUUCGCCUUUAGGAACUGGUCAUUGUUGUUUUGCUUUGUGCCAUUUCCGUUUAGGAAAGGGAUUAUAGGAACAUUCUACUUUCAGAAAACAGGGAAUCUAUUCCCGUCUCCCACCUCCUUCCCUUUGCUUUGGUGUCCUGGUUCAGAAGGUGUCAGGAGGGUGGUUUGGGAUUGGGUCUCUCUCCCUCCUCUGCUGCCGCCUAGGUUCCUGCCCUGUCUGACCACAGCAUUCAGUGUGCCGGGUCCCCCACGUGUCAGGGAAGGGGGCAUGAGACGUUUACAGAGAGGGGUUAUUACUGCCUUUCAAGUGCUCACAACCCAUGUGGAGGGAUAAUGAGUAAAACCUGACAGAAACCCACCUGCAUCAUCCUGUGAAUUUCACUAUCUUCCUGGUGACUAUUUUCUAUUCUCUAAGGGCUGAGGUGGGAAUUAAAGUUAUUAUUUCUUGUUGGUAGGGUGGGGAUAGAGGGACAGCCGGGCAGUGAAAACACAGCCUAACUUAUUUUUGGAAACCUCAGAGCAGAAGCUGUUGUCUUGGUAUUCUAGUUGCCCAGUAUCCCCAGAUUACCCAACAAAGCAGGCGCCAUCUAACCAGGCGGAUUCUGGAAAGAGUAGCUCAUUGGGGAGUCACGGCAGCGUCCACGAUCACCAGCAACAGCACCGGGACCGCCGGGGCUGUCCAACCACCACCAGGUGGCACCAAAGCGCAGCCGAGACCUGGAGAUUCGCGUCCUGCCACCUCAGAUAGGAGAAGUUGGGGAUGCCAGAGAAUCAGAUGCUGCGUGGGUGUCUUGAGAAAGGCCACGGUCCUCUGCUCCCUCCCUUGCCCCCAGGGUCAGAGCUCUCCUGAAAGGAUAUCCCUCCCCUAGUUAGGGAUGUGAGGUCCCAAAGUGGAGACUCUCUGGGAGGACAGGCAGGCACCUGGAGAGGUGUCAAGAUGGUAUCAGGACCAGAGGACCCGAGGACCUGAGUAUGGGAGGUUUCACAAACGUGGCUGGGAGGGGGCCGGCAGAGUAGAAGUGGCCAUGAGGUCUGGGCCAGUAGCGCGUGUGCUCAAACCGGGAAGUGAGGGAGACAGGCCAGGAAUCUAUGUUCUGCAUAGCUGUGGCAGGUGACAGGCCUGGGAGGAGAAAACCAUCUAUCUCAAGGGAUGUCACAGCGGGCAGGAAAUGGCCUCAAAACAUUCGGAUGACCUUCCUGGAAGGCAACAAGGGUUCCCCUUACUUAGAUGUGGGAAGGAGAAAUCCCUAAUUGAUGGAAAAUCCUGAAAAAACAGGAAUGCCAGAGUUUGCCUGGAAGUGGCUAAUAUUUGUGGGUGGUUGGUGGGUUUUAUUUUUUUAAUGGCCAUUAGGAAUAAUAGGCCUCA